AAAAAAACCCACCACCCCCUCACUGCCUCAGUCACCGCCACCACUGCUAGCGGGCCCAAAGAAACAGCUCGCUGCCUUUAAUUUGGGGACCUAUGUUAAUGAAGUUGGUAAUUAAUUCGUCGCUUUGUUGUCGGUUCUUAUACUGUAUGUGUAAUCAAAUGUGGCCGUCCUUGGGAUUUACAGCAAUUAGCGAAUUACGGGAGUGCGCACGAGGCUGCAAGUUCUCCGCAGCCCGGCUGGGCUCGGCUCCGGCUCGGCCUAAGGCUGGGCACUCCGCUGCCGCAGCUGACUUGCAGGUGUGUUCUAAGAGCGUGAGGUCCUGGAGGCUCCACGAACCCUGGAGCGCCUCCGGGCUUGCCCAGAUCUUCCUGGCUCCUCUGUAGCUGCUCCAGUCCGAAGAAAACCCCUGGCUGUCGCGUUCCCUGGAGCCACGACUUUGUGGGGCCUAGGCUUGGGGGGAGGGUGAGUACGGACCUUUCCUUGUUACCCCGCCCCCACCGUGCAGAAACACCUGGCGACUGUCCCCAAGGCCUUUCAUUUAGGAGAGGUAAACAAAUGUCCCAGGCAGUUGUCCCCCGUGGCCCGGGCUGUGGGAAGCAGGUCCUGGCUCUUGGUCCGAGCCAUCGUGCUUUGUACGUUGGAAGGGCAAAUCCACGCGAAUCUCUCGAAAAAGAGGCGAUUUCCCACCCCGAGAAAAGAAUUCUCCCCAGUUUGAUCAUAAUGAUGUUGAAAGCAUCAAAGAGCUAAAAAGAAAAAAAAAAAAAAGACCAUUAUGGAUGUAGUAAAGCAAGGCCUUGGGGACAGUGAGGGUGGGGUGCGGUAAAGAAAUAGAGCGAGAGCUUGUGAGUCACUCGAAGUAAGUGAAAAAAAUCGGAGAGAAAGCGAUCCAUCUGCAGUAGAGUCCAGAGACGUUAGGAACCUCUCAACUUCCAGGCAAAGGUUUGAGAUGUAGUCCUGAGAAGACCCAGAGCAGCCAAACCUCCCAGAAAAUUCCGGAGUGCUAUAGACAGUGGAGGAUUUCUGUUAGAUACAGCGUGGGAGGGCUUUCCCCUUCAGCGGCUGGCAGCACACAAGCCCCCGCUUCUCCUUUGCCCUCUAGUCUAAUAACUUCGCAGAAAUACAGGGCCAAUAAACCACCAGUUGGAAAUGGACAGUGUUAAAUAAACAAGGGUCUCUUUAAAAUUCUCAUCCACUUCAGAUGUCUAAAGUAAGAUCGUGAUGAUUUUGUCACGGUUUGGUAAAUUUACCCCUUUAAGAGGCUUUUCAUAAAUCCCAGAACACACCUUCAGCCAGAUUUGAAUAUAGAUUUAGGUUUUAAAACCCAGAAGCUGGAAACACCACUUUAUCAAAGAGAAUUUCCCUUUAGCUUAGCAAUAUGCUGCAGCUCUCAAAAGAUUGGAUCUGAAAGAAAGAGACGGAGGAGAAUGAGAGCCAGAGACAGAGAUGCAGACAAGGGAGGGAAGGGGAAAAAAGACUUUUCUUUUCUUUUCUUUUUUUUCUUUCUAGAGGAAUUCUGCCCAGACUCUCCAGCAGUUGGUAGCAGGCAGGCUUUCUCCUGUGUCGCCUGGAAAAGUUGCAAAAUUGCUCUUCACCUGUAAGAACAUGCUUUUUUAUCUUCCAGUCUCUUCUUGUCAAUUUGGAAAUUGCAGACAGCCCGGCUCAGGCAUUAAGAGAAAUUGAUUAGUGACAAGGAAGAGAAGAAAACAUUGCUGGUCAGUAGGCCACGGUGAGUCAUGGGCAUCUUCUGUACCUCAGCAUUAGGGCCAGAACUCAGGGCCACCAUCUACCAACCAGCUCCACGAUGUGUCCAGCCAUGGAAGAACCCGGUGGCCAAGCGUGAUUAUGCAACCGGUGGGCAGUGACUGAGGACAUGGUGUCCUUGGGAGCAGAGCUCCAUCCCGGGGAAAGGAAAGAGGGUUGAAGAAACCAUCCAAGAUGGGCCCAAACAACAGAAGAUUUCAUUUCCUUCUUUGUGCACUCACUUAACGUUACGCAGUUUAUUAAAAAGUACGUACGUGUGUACAUAUAUUUUAAAAGCCCCACCCUUAACCUCUCUGGGGGUCUUCAUGAGUUUCUGUUGCGCUUUACAAAAGAUCUGUACGGAGGAAGGGAUCGGACAACCUUGCCUUAUAUGUGUGGUCCACACCAGUAAUUGCCCCGUCCCUUCCUGAGGCCCUUAUUCCUAUGUAAAUACCCUUGCAUAAUGUUACAGGCUAUUGUUAGGCCAGCGCCAGCCAGUCGCACUUAGAUGCAUUUUUACUUCAAUCCGCUGCUCGGAGAAUGAAAAGAUGUCUGGACUUAAGCUGUUUACCAACUGGGCCGAGCUGCGGAGCAGCAAGACCGAAGAAAGCCCAAGCAUCUGCAGGAACAGGCUUUCACAAUGUGAGCAACCAUUUUCGGCGGAAUUAUUAACCCGCUCUGAAACUCUUCUAAGCUGGGCCUUUUUGAAAGAACAAAUGUGCUGAGUCGAACAUGAAUGAGCCAGGACUAUGAGGGGAGAAGCCCUCUAAAGCACUAUUGAACACAACAUAGGUUUGUGGUCAUGUUGUCCCAGUUGCCCGCUCCCAGCGCGCCAAGGAGGGUGAUGGGGCUGGCUCAUUUGUGGCGAUCGCCUGGCAAUUAAACACUAGCGCGGUACAGUAAAAAGAAAACGGCCAGGCAAGCACCACGCACUCAGAGUCAGAAAACAGUGUGAGGAGAUGAAAGGGCUGAGCUAAUAGCUCACCACUAGGACCUGACAUGCGUUUGCUUGCUAAAUAACACAGCGAUCUUUAAAGUAAAACACGGGAGGAAAAGCUUCCCAGAUCCAAAUCUCUCCCGCUCUGCCUCGUGUGGCCUCCUGGUAUUGAUACUGGGCUGAGACGUUUUUACUUUCUAGCUGUAGAGCUUCCCUGAAAUGCUACAUGAAAAUAGAGGUGUAAAAGUCUACCAGGAGGAACUAACUGGCUAGUAGAGGGAAGUUGCAGGCGGAGGACGCCCUAUUUACCUCAUGGUGGCACAGUGUGAGGAGGGUGGUAUCAGCCUACAGAAAGUCGAGUUCAUUUGCAUGCUUAUAAGAACCCAAUGAGUGCCUAAUAAGUGCUUAUAUAUGACAGGGGGAGCAUCUCUUUCCUUACUUAGUGCCACGAGAAAGAUAGAAUCCCCUCCCCCAGGUUUGGGGAAGCAGGCGAGUUAAUUAUCAUCACAAUGCGAUCAAGUACCCCAGUCAUUGAUGAAAACCAUUUCUAUUAACCACACAGCCUUGCCUCUGCGGGUCAGCGGCAGCACCUCAACCUUGCCUGGCCGCAGUACUGAUAACUUUUCCCGGAGAAAAACGCCCAUAACACCGCGCAUCUAAUUAAAUACUCAGAGAGGCAGAGAAGAAAAUACCGGCACACAGAACUCACACCAGUGAGUCCUGCCUUUGGCUGCUGGAGGCUUCCAUAUGCUGCUGUUGUUUACUCUGGAAGGAAACUGAGUCAUUUAACAUUUCAAUAGGUUAAUCAAUUGGCAAUUAAAUGGAGAAAUUGGUUAACUCUGAAAACAAUUAACACGACACUUCAUUAAGUACAGUUUCUAAUUGCUGCAGCUGUGAGUGGAAGUUAAUGAGUUUGUUAAAGCCCCCGACUGGGGUAGCACUGUGUGUGUCUAUGCACGUGCAUGAGGUGUGUGUGUGUGUGUGUGUGUGUGUGUGUGUGUGUGUGUGUAUG
rnacentral:sRNA from 1 species